AAAUGCAUGGAAUCCACGGCGACUUGGUCAUUUGAAUUUUGAACUGACUUACUGAUAGAAUACACAAGGUUGUGGUUGAGCGUGGUGCUAUUAUGGCUGGAGGUCUGUGACCAACAAAGUUUCACAGGGAUCUGUGCUGGGAUCUCUGUGUUUGUGAUAUACAGAUAUCAACGACUCGAAGAUAAACGCAGACAGGUUGGGUAGCAAAUUUGUGGAUGACACUAAGAUUGGUGGGGUCCAGGUGGAAGAGGGCUCUGCCCGAGCCGGAUGGCUGCCCCUUUCCCGGGGUUAUAUCUGCACCCAGGUGGUUUUAGAGAGGGACUACAUGCUGUCCACCGGCGCCCUGGGGGAUUUCCGGGUCCGCUGGGCACCGCGGGGGGUGGAAUGUAUCCUUGACAAGGAUUGUAACAGUUGUUUAAUACUCAAUAUAUUUGAUAUUUAAGAGUUGUACUAAGGUGGUGGGUUUGUUGGUAUUUGUAGAUUAGUGUGUCAACACUAUAUAUAUGUUACCACACAGAUUAUGCAUGCUGCACAUUCCUUAUGUCAGUCAUACUACUGGUCCGCCCACUUGCUUGAUAGUGAGCUCUCUCUCUCUAGGCUAGCUGAAUGAAUGGAGAAGAAAGCGCCUUGUGUUUCCUCCAGAGUUGCUAAUAAAAGACUAUGGAUUCUAAUCACUAUGUGUGAGUCUGAUGUUCUCACAUGUGUUCCCACCAUCAGAAGUCCAGUCCAGACUACAACAAAAGCGCGACAUUUAGAAAGGGUGGUAUGACAAGACAAGCAGACCACUUCCACCACUAGCCGAGGGACAGGUGGUGCGUCUGCAAACCGACAAAGGUCACAACCGCCUCGGUGUAAUUUCUGGAACUUCCUUCGAGCAACGUUCACACUUGGUCAAUGCUGAUGGCGGCAUCUACAAACGUAAUAGGCAACAUAUCCUGCCUGUGAAUGAGCCAGCACCAUCUCCGUACUAUCCCCCAACUGAUCCGCAAUUCCGUGUACCUCACCAUCUUCCAGUCCCGCCUCAAGACCCAUCUCCUCACCUCUGCCUAUCCUUAGCCCCACGUCCCCCUCCCUUUUCAUCUGUGCAUUAAUUGCCUCGUAUUGUGUUUUGAAUUGAAUUCUGUCUUUACUUUGUGUACUAGUCAUGUCUCUACUAUUUAUUUCAUUCCCCUUACAUGUUUUUCCUCUACCUGCUAAAUUUUUGUAAGGUGUCCUUGAGACUCUUGAAAGGCGCCCAUAAAUAAAAUGUAUUAUUAUUAUUAUUUGAAGAAGAUUUCACCAUUUACAGACGCGGCUCACCCGGCUGCUGCUCCAGGAGUUCGUGCCUCAAUUCUCCUCAACCUAGCAGGCACAGAAGCUGCCCGGCGUGCCAGAAGAUUUCAUUAUCAACCAGCUAGGUUUGACCUGGCUGGUGUCCAGAUUGCUCCCGUUGAAUGCAUCCAGGACCCCGACUGCUUGCUAAACAAAUUCCGACAGUUAUGCGAGCUACGUACUAACUUAGUCAUGGAGAGACACUUGUUUUUUUCACGAAGCCAGAGACAUGGAGAACCUAUUGAAACGUAUGUUAGUGCUUUGAAACACAUUGCCAGUCGGUGCUUUUGGUGAUUCAUGUGACAGCUUAGUCCGUGACCGUUAAUGAUAAAUUAUGAGUAAUUACUACGCGAUACUGAACUUACUCUAGAGACUGCUGAAAACCGCUGCCAUGUAAAACCGCUGCCCCCCCCCACCACACCCCACCAGAAGGUGCGUGACUUUCAUGGCGUGAUUGACAGGAGAGAGAAUCUCAACAUUUUUUUAAACACUAAUAACUUUUAUUUUUCAUCGAUGGGAAAAAUCCUCGGCACCUGAUGAGCGGAGGGGGACUCUGAGUAAGAUGGCCAAAAAUCGCACCCGUACGUGGUAGCGUUUUUUUCUAAAAUCAAUAUAAAGCGCAAACAGGAAGUGGUCAAGAUUAGACUUUUAAUUAUAUAGAAGGCAAGGCAACUUUAAUAAUGCAAGGCAACUUUAAUUAGGCAAGGCUACUUUAAUUAGUCAUGGCAACUUUAAUUAGGCAACAAAACUUUAGCAUUUCCUAACCAAAAGCAACACAGCUUUAGCAUUACCAAAGCAAUAGGCAAUAGACAAGAGGUGCAGGAGUAGGCCAUUUGGCCCUUCGAGCCAGCACCGCCAUUCAAUGUGAUCAUGGUUGAUCAUCCUCAAUCAGUACCCCGUUCCUGCCUUCUCCCCAUAUCCCCUGACUCCACUAUUUUUAAGAGUCCUAUCUUGUUCUCUCUUGAAAGUAUGCAGAGAACCUGCCUCCACCGCCCUCCGAGGCAGAGAAUUCCACAGACUCACCUCUCUCUGUGAGAAAAAGUGUUUCCUCGUCUCAGUUCGAAAUGGCUUACUCCUUAUUCUUAAACUGUGGCCCCUGGUUCUGGACUCCUCCAACAUCGGGAACAUGUUUCAUGCCUCUAGCAUGUCCAAGCCCUUAACAAUCUUAUAUGUUUCAAUGAGAUGCCCUCUCAUCCUUCUAAACUCCAGAGUGUACAAGCAGCUGCUCCAUUCUCUCAGCAAAUGACAGCAAAGGCAACACAGCUUUAGCAUUUCCAAACCAAAGGCAACACAGGUUUAGCAUUUCCAAACCAAAGGCAACACAGCUUUAGCAUUUCAAAAUUAUAUUUUCAAACCACAUUAAGGGCACUGACAGGUCAGUAAAACCCUUCAGUUUAGUAGACAUGUGUUCAGUGUUAAUCACAGCUGAGAGUGAGAGACGUGACUUUCUCGCUCGCCCAUCUUGCAGAGACUGUCUGAGGCACUCAACACUUCCGGGUUUUAUAGUCCCACCGGAAGGGGCGUGGCCUUCAGGAGAAAGAAUCUCAACAUUUUUAAAACACUAAUAACUCGUUUAUUUUUCAUCGAUGGGAAAAAUCCUCUUGUCCUGCUCAGCGAAUGGGGACUGAGUAAGAUGGCCAAAAAUCACAGCCGUAAGUGGCAGCGUUAUUUCUAAAAAUCAAUAUACAGAACAACAGGAAGUGGUCAAGAUCAGACUUUUAGUAAUAUAGAUAGAUACAGCAUAGGUAACUUCAUCUUAAAGCACUUCUAAAGACUGGGGAAGAAGGGGAAAAGGGAUUUCUAUUAAACCAGUGGGCGGAGCCACAGUAUGAUUCAUAGCAUGAAUGAUCUACACACACCAUAUGCCUUUUUUUUUUUUUUUUUUAAACAAUAAAAUCAGAUGAAAGCUGUUUGACCCAAAAUGGCAUAAUUUCUCUUUCUCCAGAUACUGCCCGAUGUGUUAAGUGUUUCCAGCAUUUUUUGUUAUUAUUUCAGAUUCCUAACAUCAGUUGUUCUUUGAUUUUCAAUCACAGCUGAUAUUCAACUCGGGCUCAUACGAAGUACAAUUGUUUGAACAAAGUACUAAAUAAAGACAGAUAUCCAUGGAACCAAAAUAAAGGAAUGCAAGAAAGGAAAAACAUCAUGAAUUGCCUAAUAGUUAUAUGCAUUAUACAUAGCCUGGGUUUUAUUUUUUUUUUUU